rnacentral:rRNA from 1 species
CCUACGGGAGGCAGCAGUGGGGAAUAUUGCACAAUGGGCGCAAGCCUGAUGCAGCCAUGCCGCGUGUGUGAAGAAGGCCUUCGGGUUGUAAAGCACUUUCAGCGGGGAGGAAGGCGUUAAGGUUAAUAACCUUGUCGAUUGACGUUACCCGCAGAAGAAGCACCGGCUAACUCCGUGCCAGCAGCCGCGGUAAUACGGAGGGUGCAAGCGUUAAUCGGAAUUACUGGGCGUAAAGCGCACGCAGGCGGUCUGUCAAGUCGGAUGUGAAAUCCCCGGGCUCAACCUGGGAACUGCAUUCGAAACUGGCAGGCUAGAGUCUUGUAGAGGGGGGUAGAAUUCCAGGUGUAGCGGUGAAAUGCGUAGAGAUCUGGAGGAAUACCGGUGGCGAAAGCGGCCCCCUGGACAAAGACUGACGCUCAGGUGCGAAAGCGUGGGGAGCAAACAGGAUUAGAUACCCGAGUAGUC